rnacentral:lncRNA from 1 species
CGGGGGGGGGAGGGGCGGCGCUUCCUUGUCCCUCGCGCGAGCGUGAAAGCGACCCUCGCGCGUGGCCUCUUUCUUUCUUUCUUUCUCCCCGCUGACGUGCCAUAGUGAGGCGCCCCUGGGAAAGAUAUAUUUCCCACAAGUAAAGACAAAUCCUGAAGGCGGAUUGUGUGGUAAAAAAAAUAAAAUAAAAGAUGUUAAAAGUCUAGUCCAGGGAGUUGUCAGAAGUUCCUGACCCGUUUCCAUGAAGGCGGGUCGGGCCACCUGGGAGGCGAGGCGAGCGGCCGGGGGAGCGGAUCCAGGCUCCCAGGCGCGCGUCGCCCUCCUCCCCAGGAGGCUCGUGUUGUGCUCCUCAGCGACAUUUCCCUCUCUCCUUCCCCCCUUCCUCCUCCUUCUUCUUCCUCGGAGCGAUGCCUUCCUUCUCCCCGAGAGCAAGGGGGCCAGGACUGCAGGGCACCCCAGAAGACCUCGCCCACCAGCCCCUUCUCCACACGAUCCACAGGUGACCCGUGCUAUCCCUGCAGUAUUCUGCAACAGGAAUACCGCUCUAAGAUUUUUUUUUCUACUUAGAAUUCAAAAAUAGUAGCAGUGAUGGUUACCAAUACUAAAUAAUUUUAAUUUUAUUUGCAGGAAACAUACUUUAUUUGAAGCACCAGAUACUGGCAGCAUUCACACAACAUGGUAAGCAAUGGUUGGUGGUUUACUGCGAAGGUACAGACCCACCCGAGAGCAACAGACCACAAUGCUUAGUUUAGUAACCCAAGAACAAGUUGACCCCUGAUUCUGAUGCAAGGCUAAGCCAAGGAUCGGUUGGUUUCUCCCAUCCACUACUGGGAAGGAGCAAAGGGAGAGCCAUCACAGGGGUUUCACAGAAACUAUUACCUGGUGGUUUGCUGUGACAUAUGAACACACAGCCCUAUUCAAGGGAUCACACUAGCCAAAAACACUUUCUUUUCACUAGUUGCCAAAAACCAUUUCUUCUUCUGAAUUAAUGCCAGUUUACCUUUAUCCAGCCAAGGCUCCCUAAUAAAUUAUGUUUCUGAAAUCUGGGUAAGUGCGCUUCCCUUUAGGAGCUGCAAUAUGAUUUUGUGGAUGAAACCAAUGUCAGCAGUGUUACCCAGUGAACUGAUGUAUCCAUAUCCAUUCUGAAUCCUUCAGAUUUGGCCCAAUUAAGUUUAUAGUCCAAAAUACGUUCCAAGGAGGUGCUUGCAGCACGUUGGGUACUAAUUUCAAAUAGGAUGGGAAACACUUCAUCAGCACAAAGCUGAAUUCUCAAUUCUUAAAGUUUUUUAUGUGUGAUGUCUUAGUGUAUUUUUGGUCUUUGUGGAAGCCGCCCAGAGUGGCUGGGGAAACCCAGCCAGAUGGGCGGGGUACAAAUAAUAAAUUAGUAUUAUUAUUAUUAGUCACUGAUUAUAAUACCUUCAUAUCUUGCCACAUGCAAGAGAUUAUAGAAAAAGACCUAGGAAUAACAGAGACAAGAGGGAGUUGUGCCUCAUCCCCCUUUGCAAAGAUGCUGGAGUUAAACGAAGUCAUUCUUUUAGAAGUGAGGUCCUUUAUGAAUUAGUUUUACCUGUAUUUAAAAAUGCAGCCAGUGUGGGAGUUCUGUGGCUUCACUUACCCAGGAGUCAACUGAAGGGUAGAGAAGGAAAUAAAAGCACAGAUGGUGACAAUUACCUUAUGAACAGUGGCCAUUCACCAAAAAUGUUAGUUGAUAACACAGACCUCUACAUUUUGCUUUGUUUUGGCUUCACUGUUUACAUCUCCCCUCCGCAACUCAGGAUAACAAUACAUCUUAUGAAGUGGAUUGCAUACUCUGGGAAAAAGUAAGAGAGGCCAUGAUGGUCCUUUCUUUAAAGUGAGUAUGGCAAAGUCAUCCGUUUUACAGAAAAACGUUUAACACUAUGUAGAAAAACAUACUCUGCUUUGAUUCCAGGAAGAGUUAAGGCUUGUACGUGCAUAAAUUUGUACCUGUUCUAACAACCGGCAGAGGGGAAAACACAUUCCUCAAAAAGAUUUGCAGUCAACAUAUUGGAGCAACAUGCUAAUCCAUGAAAUGUGUAGAUUGGGAGAACUAAGAGCAAUGAACAUAUGGACCUCUCUGUAGAGCUUAAACAUUUUCAGUGUUCCUAACAAUAGCAAGAUUUUUACCUUUGAUAAUCUUAAGAGAUUUGUUAUUUUUGGCAGGCACCGAAGCUGAAAGUGCUAUGCCAGUCUUUCCAUUCUUACCCAAUUGCUGCUGCAUGUUUGGGUGCUGAUUGACUAACUGAGCCCUUAACAAAACAGAGGGUGAGCAUAUACUGCUAGGAAAUAGCAAAACCUUGCUUCCUCAAAACCAACAUGCAAAAUUUGUUUUGGGGACAUUUUUGCGUCAGCUGUAUCCUAUGAAGGACUGCAAGUUCUCAAUUUCUCCUCCCCCCCUUUUAUUUUUUUGCAGCUCCAUCUUUCCAUGCACAUAGAGCAAACUCACAGCUGGCUUCCCCAGAAUGUCUGUCACAUGCAGGCUCUGUUCUCAUAUUUCUGUAAGAUCUGAGUCCCAAAGGAAGCAUUAAUGCUAGAGGAAUGCAUGCUGGCAUGUGACUCCUGUGAAAGGAAGUUGGGGAAAGAAAACUCAAAUAAGCUCCUCAGGUCCACUGUGGGAACCACCCUCUGCCUAAAGAUUUGUGGGUCAACCUUUUAAAUAUUUUUCAAUAGAUAACACUGUUACAAGGAGGAGGGGGAGGCGUGAGCUUCAGAAUUGCAGUCAAACUGGUAUCCAGGAGGAAAUAGCAGCCUAGACUGGUCAUGUGGUGCAGGAAAGAAAUCUGGACCAGCUGCCUGCAGACCUCAUCAGGGGAGCAUGUAACUGAUGGCAAACCGAAAAGAGAAAAAUAUCCCCAGCACAGGAUCUGAAAUCAAAGGUUGCCAUGCAGGAAUAGGAAAAUGGGGAAGUGUAUGGGGGGGGGGAAUGAUGGCAGUGGCAUGGUGUGGGUGGCCAGCGCCCCGGGCUGCGCAAAGGGGAUGGGGUGGGAGGGAGGUAAACAGACGGAGUAUGCAUGCACAUUCAACUGCCUAAUGGCAUUCGCGUCACCCAGGAGAUCAUAGCUGCAGAGAUAAGAAAAUAAGAGUCAUUCCGUUGUCUGGAGAUGUCACUUCCUGGUUCUCAUGAAGAAACCAUUUUCAACGGAACCCAGCAAAGGAAACGUAGCUGUAUUGAGACAGCACUGGGCGUUGAAGUUUUGUGCCCCUAACAAUUUUUGGCAACCAGGGCAACCGCCCGUGCCCCUCCCCUAACACUACCCCACUAAAUGAUGGGGGUAUCUGGAGUUCAGUUGUUCAUAAGAAGAUUUUAGGUUGCAUACACACCAUACAUUUACAUCAGGGGUCAGCAAACCUUUUCAGCAGGGGGCUGGUCCACUGUCCCUCAGGCCUUUUGGGGGGCCGGACUAUAUUUUUUGGGGGGGGGAUGAUGCACGAGCCCCAGUGGCUGCUUACCUGUCUUGCGAGUGGCAGGGGCUGGCAAUGGCGGCAGCGGCGGAGGGACGAUGAGCGGCACAUGAAAGGGCUCCGGAGAGGGGCUGCUUAAAAUGGCAGCUGCUUGAGCGCUGCUGCUGCUGCUGGCACUAACAUAGCCCAGCCCCCUUCCUCCUCUAGGCAGGGCAGGGAGAAGCCAGGAGGAGGGAGGGAGGAGGAGCCGCUGCCGUGGGAGGAAGAGGGAAAGAACGUGCACGUGUUGGCGAUCCACAUGGCGAUUCCCAGACAAUCCGCGGGCUGGAUCCAGAAGGCAAUUGGACCUGAUCCGGUCCAUUUGCCGACCCAUUAUUUACAGCAUUCAACCCCCCCCCCCCCAAUAAUCCUAGGAAUAGAGCUACAAUUCUCUUCACAGAGCUACAAUUCUCAGCACCCUUAACAAACCCAUGUUUCCCUUGGGGGAAGUCGUGUGCUUUAAAUACUAUGGUGUGCAUACAGCCCUAGACAAAAAAAAUCACAAGGACGCAGACUUGCAGGGAGAACAUACUGGUUCUAGAGCAAGCAGGAGUCAUUGUUUCUCCAUCACACCACCCUCUUGAUUUUGUAAUGCCUGGUGUCGCUGCCAGUGCCUGGCAUCUCCUGUUUCUCAGGAAACACUAUUUGCCCCAAUUAUGUGCUCCUAUUUGAAGUCUUCACUGGCAUUUCUUAUACAGUAGGCUGGAUAACAAGUUUAUUCCACAUGUGCAUACUGUAUACUGAAUCAUCUCAUGGCUUAUUUUGCCUCUUGCCAUCAGGUUUGCUUACAUCAGGGUGGCUAACCCAGGGCCAUUCAGACGUUGUUGGGUUCAACUCCCAUGAGCCCCAAGAGGCAUGGACAUUGGUCAGGGAUGGUGGCCGUUCUGUUCCAAGAAUAUCUGGAAGGCCACAGGUUAGCCAACUUGGCUGAAGCACUGCAAGGUGGUGUGUUUCUGUACGCCCUUCUCUUCUCAAAACUUAGUGUGCAGGGUGAUGCCCAAUGGUCUUCCAUCCAGGGUCUGGCCAGUCCCAGACCUGCUUAGCUUCACAAACAGAAUUGUAUCAAAUGCCUUCAGACUAGUCACUUUUCAAGAGCCCCUUACAGCAGGCCAGUUGUUCCGCAAACAGAAAUAAGCUGCAUAAUCAUCGCAGCUUAUUGAGAGCCCACAAAGAGAGGAGAGUUAAAACAGGUAGAGAAGACUCCAGUCUUCUUUCAGAAUUUAAAUUGUGGCAGGUGAACAUUUAAAGUGCUAUUGUACCACAGUCACAGCUUUCCCGAAAUCAUCUUGGGAACUGCAGUUUGUUGAGGGUGCUCUGUUCCCUGCACAGAGCUACAAUUCAAUACCCUCAAAGUAUCCCAGUUUUCCAGGGACAGUCCCAGAAUUACAGAAGCCAUCCUGGUUUCUGAUUUGAUCCUGGAAUGUCCUGCUUUCCCUCUAUCGGAUGUCCUUAUUUUCAUCAGAGAAAUGUUGGGAUGCAAUUCCCAAAGUUCCAUGGGAGGAGGGAUUGAUUGUUGAACUACUCUGAGAAUAGGAGUUACCUAACAAUAGGGCUGCCAUACGUCCAGAUUUUCCCAGACAUUACCCAGAUUUCAAAUGUGGAAUUGAUGUCUGGGGGAAUUUCCAAAAGGCGGCACGUUUUUGUCUUUCAAAAGUUCGACAACUUUUGGGUUUUCCUAAAAAAAACUCAACAACUUUCAGGGUGUCCUGGUUUUUACUUUUUGAAAUAUGGCAAUCCUACCGAACAACUCUUAGCACCCUUACCAAACCACAUUCCCCAGGAUUCUUUGGGGGAAGCCAUGAUUUUUUAAAAGUGGUAUGAUACUGCUUAGGGAUGUGGGUGGCACUGUGGGUUAAACCACAGAGCCUAGGACUUGCCAAUCAGAAGGUCGGUGGUUCGAAUACCCACAAUGGGGUGAGCUCCCAUUGCUCUGUCUCAGCUCCUGCCAACCUAGCAGUUCCAUAGCACGUCAAAGUGUAAGUAGAUAAAUAGGUACUGCUCCGGCAGGAAGGUAACUGGCGUUUCUGUGCGCUGCUCUGGUUCCCCAGAAGCGGCUGAGUCAUGCUGGCCACAUGACCCGGAAGCUGUACGCCAGCUCCCUCAGCCAGUAAAGCAAGAUGAGCGCCGCAACCCCAGAGUCGGCCACGACUGGACCUAAUGGUCAGGGGUCCCUUUACCUUUAUGAUACUACUUUAAAUGCAAACUGCAGAUGGGGCCUACCUCUUUCGGGCAUUCAGGUGCUUAGCAGUUUCUUCUCCUUGAUUUGCUCACUGGCUCCCUUGCAAAGACCUUGCCCUUCAUGCACCAAGGUUUAAUCCCCCAUUUCUCUUCCAAUCCAGUUUCAUUGCAGCCUCACAUUCUCUCUACAGCUGGAACUCUUCCCCCACAUUCUACAAUGCUGAACUUUUCAUUUCUGUUAUUUUUGUGAGUUUUGGCAGCUGCAGAUGUUCUUUUGUUUUAUUCUGUCCCCUUUUCCCCACUUAAAUUGAAGCCAGGUACACCAAUUGCGACUUUUAACAGCACCACCCUCCCCUUAUUUCCCCCCCCCCAACAUUCUUCCUCCCAUUCUGAGUGUUUUUCAGGCAAGUUUCUUUGGAAUGUGCAGAUUGGCUCCAGCUCCACGUAUGCUGCUGACUGCUGUUGUUUGGAGCGAAUUGGCGGCUGCUUCCAGCAUUCACAGCCAGAUGUUACAAAUGUGACCCAGCCAGAAGCUGCAAUGUGCCCACACUCACUCUUGCUCCAAGCUGCAAAGCUUUGUGUGGGACUGCUCUCGCCUCCUCUGGAAAUCUGAAGUCUGCUUUGCUCACUAGUUUUCCCUCCUUUCUUUUUUAACUGGUAGUACAAGCUCUUUCACAACAUCUGAAGUGCUCUCUGAAGAAAAGCAGGGCCUUCCUUCGUGACUGAGAUUUUGCACUCCCAAAAACUCCUGGAUCCAAUGCCCAGAAAGCAUCAUUUUCAGUUCUUGGAAUACUUGUUGCAGCUCAGGCAGGUUAACAGGUUUUCUCAGCUAAGUGUUUAGAAUGGGAGUGGGAAGGUGGAAUUGCAAGGUCAAAGUAGGAGCCUAAAUCACCCACAUUUGGGUUUUAAAGAACUGGCAAAUGCCCCUAUAUUCGGCUUGGCCUUUAACUAGACUAAUGAGCUGAGGCUGUGCCUGAGAUUUCUGGGAAUGCAUCCAUGGUUAAGAGUGGACUUUACCCAUGCUCCUUGCUGGCUCCUAGGAAACUCCUUGUGCUGUUGAUGCACAGCUAUGUCUUCCCAUUCCAUCUCAACUGGGAGUGGCUGUCAAGGUGUUGGGCCAGUGAGUGUCUGGAAGCAGUGAUGGGCUGGAUGGAGGACAAUAAACUAAUUUCUGGACCAGAAAUUAGAUGCACAGCCUUUUCUCGUAGCUUCAAUAACUAGAGCAGGGUCAAUACAGGAAAGCCUCAUUUUUUUAUUUACUAUUCUUUCUUUAUUGAAAAGAGGAAAAUGGCAAACUAGAAAGCCACAUUUCUUCAUAUUAGGCAGGCAGCGAACUGUGCAGCCUUACCUGGUGGUUCAGCUAGCCCAGGGAGCCAGAUGGGGUUGUGUCAGAAAUGUACAGUGUUCCAAGCCAUAAUUAAAACAAAUUUAAAUACUUAUUUGUUCUAGGGAGCUGUGGAGAGUGCACAUAGACCCCUGCAGCAGAGAAGGGGUUAAGUGGAAAAUAUUGAAGGUGCAAAGGCCACCCUGACCCCUGUCACUGGUGGUCCUUGUCAGUGGAGCUAGAGAUGCUGGGAGCAUCAUUAGAGCUGCUAUUUAAAUUGCACGUUCAUAGGGCAGGGCAAUGGGUGAAGUCAAGGAACACCAUUGUUUGCAGUUCAUUAGCAACAGAGAAACAGGCGAGGGGGGAGAGAGGGUGAAGGGGCAUCAGAGCAGCUCCAUCCUGCCUGGCAUGUGUGGACUGAGUAGCAUAAUGUUGAAGAAAAGAGGACUGAUUAUGUAGUAGCCACAGCACUAAAUAAAAGUCGCUUAAAUUGGCAUUUGUUGGAGGACGGCUCAGAAUAUAGCAAGAAAGUUCCCAAUGAGAGCAAGGCCACGUUCACAAAAGCUCUUUCCCACCCAAAAUUGGCAUGAAGGGCAUUUCAUUUUUUAUGGGAGAUAUUCAGAACUGGAUGGUGAUGUGUUUUGUUUUUGCAAAAGUGAGUAUUCUCAGGAAGCCAUAAUCGCUGCAUGAAAUUCAAGUUGUCUGUGACUGUGUGUGCGUAAUUCUGGCUGUCUAAAUAGUGGGAAGACAAGUCUUGGCACCGUCCAAUUCUAGCGGGAUGGCUAUGGUAGCAAUCUUUUUUGAUUAAAACAACACACAGUCCUGCUGUUGCACCUUGGGAACUACACCAUGGACCAGAAAAGCCCAUUUUUCUUGGUUGCGUCUUGCAGGGACACUUUUGACUUUUUGCAUUAGGAGCGCUGAUUGGAUUUUUCGGGGCUUGGAUUGGACAGUUGAUACUUUGCAGACAGGCCUCUGUGAGGUGAGGCAGGGCAUCUGUGCCAGAGGGCAAAUUUUGAGGUGCAAUUAAACGACAAGAGACUUUCAAUUAUUGACUUAAUAGAUGAUCUAUCUCCCAACAGAGAACCUUGGGAAGAUCAGCUGCAAGGGGGUUACUAGGUAUGGGCCCAUGACACAAAUUAGCACAAUAUUUUUAUUUAUUUUUUGCAAAUUUUGCAUAAAUGUUUCCAAAUAAGCAUGAAUUUACUCAUUGUUGCAACUGCAUAUGCUGAAUCCACUUUUUGGAGGGAGAAAACAAACUCGGCCUAUCAAGACUUCCUCUGAGCUAUAGAGUGCCAAAAAGGUUUUCUGAGUGCAGGAUUUUGUUUGGGCUUCCUCCACCUGGAAUAUGUUAGGAAGAACUAAUGUUCAUAUGAAAACUAAAAUAAGGACUGCUGGGUAGAUUAAAUUGUUGGGUGUAUGUGGUUUAAUUAUCACUGCUGCUGUGCACCAGGGUGAGUUGUAAGCAGAGGUGAAAUAUACUCGGAGUCGACUGUGUGGAUUUCAUGCUCUUUAUUCAGCUCAUAGUAGUGAGGAAUGAAAGUUCCCCCAAAAUAUCUGCUUUAUAUACAUUGUUUACACAAUGGGCCGCACGAUUUUGGCUAAUUCUGGGAUUCUCCUGUAGGCCAAUCAGGUUGCGGAUUCACUUCCACCUGGAGCUGGAUUGGGUGGCUCCUGCAGACCAAUCAUACUGCUGCAUUGUUCUAGGACCAAUCAGACUGCUGCAUUCUGGAUCCUAUUGUUCUAGGACCAAUCAGACUGCUGCAUUUUGCAUCCUAUUCAACUCAGUACAUAACAAGAGGCAUAACAUGGGUUGCCAACUCCAGGGACCAUGUGGAGGGGUGGGUGGGAGGGAGGGAGGGAAGGGGACGGAGUGCGCAUGCACAUUCAACUGCCUAACGGCAUCUGUGUCACCCAAGAGAUUGCCGCUGCAGAGAUAAGAAGAGUCUUUCUGUUGUCUAGAGAGGUCACUGCCUGGUUUACAUGGAGAAGCCAUUUUCAACAGAGCCCAGCAACAGAAGCAUGCAGCUGUAUUGAGGCAGAACCAGGUGUUGAAUUUUUGCGCCCUGUCACAAUUUUGCUCCUGGGGCAGCUGCCCCAAUAGCACCCCCCACUCUAUGCCACAUCUAUUAUCUGUAAGCAAAGACAAAACAAGUGUAUGGAAGGUAAGGUUGCCAUAUUUCAAACAGUAAGAAUCCGAACAGAAAAGUUGUUGAGCUUUUGAGGUAUUUUUAUGCAAAAACGGCACUGCCGACAUAGGCUGCCAUUCAUCCGAAUUUCCUGGACUUUUUUACUGAUUUCUGUCUCGACACUGCUGCUGACUGCAGUAUUUCGGAUAUGUCCUGGAAAUUCCAGACGUAUGGCAACCCUAAUGGAAGAGACAUCUGGAUUUUGGCACAAAAAAAUCCAGGGCUUUGACCUCCUGGGUCACCCCAUGAUAAAAUCCCUGGGUGCACCUAUGAAAUAGAUUGUUGAACACCGGCUCUUACGAUGCCUCCAGGUGGCAGUGGGGCCAGGUCUACCCUUAGGCAGAAUGAAGCAUCUGUUUCAGGCACCAGGGGCUGAGAGGCAGCCACAGUGCCACUGAGUUAGCCUGCUCUGCACUUCCUAAGCUACCCAGUUGCCUCAGUAUUACAGUGGAGCAGUGCCAGAUUUACGUAUUAGCUAAACAAGCUAUAGCUUAGGGCCCCACUCUCUUGGGGGCCCCAAAAAAAUUCAAAGGGAAAAAAACUGGGUGUGCUUUUCCAAAAUAUAAGAUAAAAAACAAAUAAAACCUACAUACAGCAACAGUGUUUUGUGUUGUGUAGGCUCCUAUGAUGUAAGUAAUGAGCCCCACCUGCUAGCCUGCUCCCUAAAAUAUCACUAUUUUGCUCAUUUCUAUAUAUAGGGUGCCUGCAUUCUGCACAUGCAAAUGGCUUGAGAUACCUAUUAAAUCCGAAAAUUACCAUAUAGCAUAUAGUCAACACAAAACCAGCAACCAUUUGUUGUUGACAAAGGACAGCUGGACAUAUAAAGGGCCCCAUUACCUUCAGGAGCUUAAAGGUAAAGGUACCCCUGCCCGUAUGGGCCAGUCAUGUCCGACUCUAGGGUUGCGUGCUCAUCUCGCUCUAGAGGCCGUGAGCCAGCGCCGUCCGAAGACACUUCCGGGUCACAUGGCCAGCGUGAUGAAGCUGCAGCUGGCGAGCCAGCACCAGCACAGCACACAGAAACGCCGUUUACCUUCCCGCUAUAAAGCGGUACCUAUUUAUAUACUUGCACUUAAGAGUGCUUUCGAACUGCUAGGUGGGCAGGAGCUGGGACCAAACAACGGGAGCUCACCCCGCCGCGGGGAUUCGAACCGCCGACCAUACGAUCAGCAAGUCCUAGGGCCUCCUCAAACCUAAAUCUGGUCCUGCAGUGGAGGGUGUUGUCCCAUCAAUGGUGUCAAAAUAAAAUUCAACUGCCAGUCCAGCCAGACUGUAUGUAGAAUGAUGUGUGAGGGUUUCCUUCGCUUCAGGCAGCAAAAUGUCUUGAGCUAACCAUGAGUGGGAAGCACUGUCCUGUCGCACCUAACUAGGUGCUUCAGCAAACAGUGCUGAUGAGCACCCCAAGGAGAAGCUAUGGGGCAAAGGCAAAUCCCUUGUUGCUCCUGUUGAGUUGAAUGUGUCCCCUCCUGCCCCCUGGACUGCCUACCAAGCUCUAGCUUUCUACAUUCUGGAUACACUUAAUUACGUAGGUUUUUUGACCAGCUGUUUUUCAUGCAUCAUUGAGAAUUUGUGAUGGAAAUAUGAGCAAUCCAUGUUAAACACCCUAGGCUAAUUGAGCAAAGUGUGCAGGGAAGGGGGUCUACGGGAAGCAGGAUCCAUACAACUGUAUAUGCAAGUUAGCAUACGAAAAAUUGAUGUAGAUUUGUGUCCUUUUUUGGCAAUACAUAAGAGGCCACCGGCACAUCAUACACGGGGAGCAGUCCUUGGCUAUAUGCACUACAGUAUGGAUCAUCCACUUGAUUUCUGCAAUUUUGUUUUAGACUGUUUUAAUGCUGCUUUUGUUUUAAUGUUGUGUUUUAAUUGUUGGAUCCUGUCCUGGGGCCUUAGGGUGAAGAGGAUGAUGAUAAUGAUAAUGAUGAUGAUGAUGAUGAUGAUGAUAAUAAUAAUAAUAAUAAUAGAUUCUUUACACUCACACAUAGAAUCAUAGAACUGUAUAAUUUAAAGGGACCCCAAAAGUCAUCUAGUCCAUCCCCUGCAAUUCAGGAAUCACAGCUAAAGAACCCCUGACAGUUGACCAUCCAAACUCUGUUUAAAAAUCUCCAGUGAAGAAGAAUUCACCACCUUCUGAGGGAGUAAGCUCAAUUGUUGAACAACUCUUACUGUCAGAGAGUUCUUCUUAAUGUUUAGCCAGAAUCUCCUUUCAUGUCAUUUGAAUCAAAUGGUUUGAGCCCUACCCUCUGGAGCAGGAGAAAACAAGCUUGCUCUAUCCUCCAUGUGACAACUCUUUAGCUAUUUGAAGAUGGCUAUCUUAUCUCCUCUCAAUCUCCUCAUAAGCCUUGAUUUCCAGACCCCUGAUCAUCUUGCUUGCCCUCCUCUGCACACGUUCUAGAUUAUCAGUAUCCUUCUUAAAUUGUGGUGCCCAGAACUGGACACAAGACUCCAGGUGUAGUCUCACCAAGGCAGAAUAGAAUGGUGCUAUUAUUUCCUUGAUCUGGACACUAGCCUUCUGUUGAUGCAGCCUAGAAUAGCAUUAGUUUUUUUUGCUGCUGCAUCACACUGUUGAUUCAUGUUAAGCUUGCGGUCCACCAAGACCCCUAGAUCCUUUUCACAUGUACUGCUAGUAAGCCAGGUGUCCCCCAUCCUAUAUUUGUGCAUCUGGUUCUUCCUGCCUAAGUGCAGAACCCCACACUUGUCCCUAUUGAAAUCAUUUUGUUAGCUUGGGCCCAGUUCUCCAAUCUGUUAAUGUCAUUUUGAAUUCUGCUUCAAAGUUUGGUGUCAUCUGCAGAUUUGAUGAGCAUCUCCUCAAUUCCCUCAUCUGUCGUUUAUAAAGACAUUGAACAACAAUAGACCCAGGACAGAACCCUGCAACACCCCACUUGUCAUUUUUUUCCAGGAUGAGGAAGAACCAUCAAAUAGCACUCUAUGGGUUCAGUCAGUCAACCAGCUACAAAUCCACCUAACAGUUACCUCAUUCAACCCACAUUUUACUAGCUUCCUUACAAGAAUAUCAUAGGGGAUUUUGUCAAAAGCCUUACUGAAGUUAAGAUACAAUAUUUCCACAGCAUUCUCCUGAUCCACCAAGCUAGUAACUCCAUCAAAAAAGAAAUUAGAUUCGUCUAGCAUGACUUAUUUUUGAGAAACUCAUGCUGGGUCUUAGAAAUCACAGCAUCCUUUUCUAAGUGCUCACAGUUUGACCGUUGAAUUAUCUGUUCUAGGACCUUUCCUGGUAUCAAUGUCAAGCUCACUGGUCAGUGGUUACAUGGGUCUGCUUUCCCUCUCUUUGAAGAUGGGGACACCUCCAGUCUGUUGGGACCUCACCUGUUCUCCAAGAAUUCUCAAAGAUCAUAGACAGAGGCUCUGAGAUCACAUCUGCAAGCUCCUUUGGUACCCUUGGGUGCAGCGCAUCAGGCCCUGGAGAUCUGAAUUCAUUUAAAGUAGCCAGGUGUUCCCUUACUAUCUCUUUUCCUAUCUUGGACUGCAGCUCCCUCCAUACAUCAUUGAUUCAGUUAUCACCAGGUUGGGCAUCGCUUUCCUUGUGGGUGAAGACAGAGGCAAAGUAGGUGUUGAAUAGUUCCACCUUCUCUCUUGUCAUCCAAUAGCAUUUCCCCGUCUUCUCCAUGCAGAAGACCCUUCACUUGCUUGUUCUUCCUCUUGCUUUGGCCAUAGCCCCCAACCCCUUUUUUAUUAUUUCUGAUCUCUCUUGCAAGCCUGAGCUCAUUCUGAGCUUUAGCCAGCCUGACUUUGCCCCUGCAACUGUUGGCUACUCGUCCAUACUCCUCCUUAGUGAUUUCUCCCUUUUGCCAUUUCUUAACUCUCAGCUCAUCUGUAAGCUCCUUAUGCAGCCACAGUGGUUUCCUUAGAUGCCUCCCACUUUUCUUUCUUGUUGGAAUUGUCUGCAAUUGGGUGUCUUCAAUAUUUCUCCUUUUGGAAACUCCCAUCCAUCUUAAACUCCCUUCUCUUUGAGUAUUUCUGACCAUGGGAUCUCACCCAGUAGCUGCCUAAGCUUUUUAAAAUUGGCCUUCUUAAAGUCCAGAGUUCAUGUCUGGCUACCCUCAGCUUCCCCUUGCCUCUGUAUCAUGAAAUCCAAGAGGACAUGAUCAUUUCCUCCCAAGUUUCUGAGCACUUCCACUUCAUCAAUCAUCUCCUCCCUGUUGGUGAGGACCAGGUCCAAGAUAGACGAUCCCCUUCUUGCUUCUUCCAUCUUCUGGGAAAUGAGACAGUCAGCGAGGCAGUGGAGGAAUUUGUUGGACCUUACAUUCUUGGCAGAGUUUGAAUUCCAACAGAUAUUGGAGAAGUUGAAGUCUUCCAUGACCACUAUAUCUCUCCUUUUUGAAUGUUUGGUAAUCAGCUCUAGGAAGGCAUCAUCCAAGUCUUCAGUCUGGCUUGGCGCCUGUACAGACACCCACAGGAAGGUCACUGUUGGUUAUCUCACCUACAGUUUUUACUCAUAUAUUCUCAUAUUUACUCAUAUAUUCUCAUUCAGCUUUCCAUGGUCCAGGUCAUGGAUUUAUUCACAAGUGUACACAUCGUUUACAUACAAUGCUACUGCUUCUCCCUUCCUGUUUGGUCUGUUCCUUUUGAACAGGUUAUUCGCCUCAAUUCCUAUUUUCCAGUCAUGAGUCCCGUUCCGUCAUGUUUCAGUAAUGCCUACCAGAUCACAUUUGCCAUUCUGUAAUUCAUCUUACUUGUUUCCCAUACUCUGUGCAUUUGUGUAGAGACAAUUGAGUCUACACAAUUGAGACAAUGGAGUCCUUCCCUCCAGCUGCUCCCUUCUUGUACUUUCUUGCCCCUUAGUAGGUUUCUAGAGCACCACCUCUGUUUCCUUUGCAUCAAUAAAGCUAUUAUCCCCAGUACCAGGUGUUCUUCUGUCGCCUAUAAUGUUGUCUCCCUCCCUCUCAGGAUUUAGUUUCAAGCUCUCCUGAUCAGUUUGUGAGACUGUUAGCAAACACAUUCUUGCCAACCACUAUGAAGUGCAGUCCAUCUCUCAGUAGAAGUCCUUCUUCAAGGAAGCGGAGACUGUGAUCCAAGAUGCCAAACACUUCCUGACGACACCACCUGCACACCCAGUGAUUUACUUGAAGUAUUUUCCUCUCUCUUUCUGGGCUACGACCUUCAACUGGAAGGAGUGAUGAGAAGACCACCUGUGCCCAGAGUCUCACAGUCCCAUGCUAUAUGUUGAGGGCUGUGUGUGGCAGUAUUAUUUGUACCCACAUGAAUCAGAAUGACUCUGUCCUCAUCGCAACUGCGUUAAUUUUUGCACAAAUUGAGCAGUGACCUAUGUUUACGAAGAGGGUUCCUGGUGGAGCUGCAUUGCGGACUUGGCUGUUUUUGCUGAAUCAGCGGCAGCAAUAUGAACAGGUAAUUACGCCCUGCCAUGUGUGUCUAAUUCUGACACAGGCAGCAGCUGAGCAGCAGGCUGUGUGACGCUACCAGUGGACGAUGGGGAAGGAGCAAGGAAUAAAUUGGUCCCCAUGGCCAGAGGGAGGGGAAGGGGACUUUGUCAGAUCCCUCUGUCUUCCUAUGGCACCGAGAAUCUGCCUUUGCUGCGAUGGCAUUAUUUAAUACCGCUAAGAUGUCAACAGGAAAUCCUUUCAAGCAUAGUUUGAUACAUCAUGACAGAAAAUCGUUCAAGGCAGGGGACAAGAUACCCAGCCGCAAUGGAGGGUCUGGGCUGGGGGUGCAUUUCCUUCAAAUCACCAUGUAAAAAUCAUGAUGCAGCAGCAAAACAGAAGCCCCCUUCCCAGAGGAAAUAGAAGCUCUUUAAGGCGUUCAAUUUCCCCCUCCAGUUGGUACAGCAUGAGAUCCUUAAUCUUAGGAUUGUGGGUUUGAGCCCCACGUUGGGCAAAAGAUUCCAGCAUUGCAGGGGGCUGCACUAGAUGACCUCUGUGGUCCCUUCUAAUGCUGCAAUUCUAUGAGUCUAUGCUCCCAAUCCAACAACCCCCUCCAUAUCAUGAACUGAGACACAACUCUUCAGAAGUUGGAUCUGGGCUCUUCUACCAGCAAAAAAACAGGAAUUAAAAUCCUUUGGGAGAUGGUGGGCUCCUUCAUUGGAGGUUUUUCAGUGGAGGUUCAGUGCCCAACUGUCAGGGAUUCUUUAGCUGUGGUUCCUGCAUUGCGGUUGGACUAGAUGGCCCUCGGGGUCCCUUCAAACUCCAUGAUUCUAAAACACAAUUAAAACCAGCAAUUAAAAUGCAGUUUGCCCUGACAGCAACCUGGUGGGAGGCAUCACCCUCACCAUAGUUUUCAAAGGCCUGUCUGAAGAGGAAGGUCUUAGUCUGUGGGCAGAAGGAUAACACAGAGCGAACCGAUCUAUCCUACAUGGUCUCCUUUUAGCCCAUAUCUGUACCCAGUGCUUUUUUAAAAGAAAAAAAAAAGGUGCUGGGACUCACCAUGAAGUUGUCACAGUAAGUGCCACACUUUUAACAUUGGGGUGUGUGUGCUGGUACUGCAUACACUUGAGCACUCCCAGAAAAAAGCACUGCCUGUACCUUUUGGCACCAGUGUUCUUGGGAACUGUUGACUCCAGUUCCUCCUCUGACAGCUCUAAAGCUUAACCCCCAGCGGCCCCCUCAAGGGGGUCAUUGGCCUGUGAGGUGCAGGAUUAAUCCUCCGGGGACUCCAUGUCUGGCACCAGGUCAGGGUUAGGCCGAGGAGCAAAGUGGAUCCAGCUGCCACUGGCAGACUCAGCACAACACCACGGCAAGGAGAUCUUGCUUAAGGCUACCAGACUUUUUUCAAAGAAUCCGGGGACACUUGUGCCAUUGAACCAAUCACGCAACAUUCAUUCCCUACUAAUAAAUCUACAACACUUAAAUGAAAUCACAUUAAAUGAAAUCCGGGGAUAUUCCGGGAACAGAUUUUGUCCUGGGACAGAUUUGUAAAUCCGGGGACUGUCCCCGGGAAACGGGGACGUCUGGGAACCAUAAUCUUGCUGCUGACCUGUACGAGCUCCUAAAAAUCCUAUGCCACUCUACUAAAAGACAAGCACUGCAGCAAAUGCCUGGGUAAACAGGAAUGUCCUUGUUUGGUGCCUAAAAUUUAAUGUGAAGGCACCAGGCACAGCUCUCUGGGGAUAGCUUUUUUAAUUAUUUCAUAAAAUGUAUAUGCCACUUGAAUGUAAAACAACCACAAAGACUUCCGGUUUCUGUGAAUGGCGAAAAGGAGUGCUAGUCUGAUCAUCUGACGGACUCAAGCCCCGCGGAGAUACAGGGGGAAGCGCCAAGGUGAGACGCACCCCCUAAAAAGCCUUGAGAGGGUUCUCAAGGGGUCAAGGUGUCCAGCAGUCCGCAAAAGGGCUCUCCUGCGACCCUCAAAUCCCUGUUCCAAGAGGAACGGGGAGUGGGGGGGGCAGUGAUUGAGCCUCCGGACAUGGCAGCAGUAUUGGGCAUUUUCACUCUGUUCAGACCAUUUUUAAUUGUUUAAUAGUAACUUAUUGAACAUGGCAAUUAAAAAGCAACCAACCCCAAGUUCGGAUAGAAGGACCUCUGUACAGGACACGGGGGAUAAGCCUUAUGGUGAAUGGGUGGAAUUCUUUUAUAAAUUGAGAAAUGAGUUAAUUAAGAAGAUAAAGGAAAAUUUGGAUAAGACAGCAAAUAAACUUAUAGCCCCAAUGGACAAAAAUACUGAAAUGGUGACAGAACUGAUUUUUAAGAUAGAACCAGUGACAAAGAAAACAGAAGCGGUGGAGGUCUUGAUGCAAGGGCUGAAGGAAAAUUUUAGAAAAAUGGAAAUUGUGAUUGAUAUUAAGAAAUACCAGGAGACACUCAGGGCAGAUAUGGAUGGCAUGGGGGGGGCAGGGAAUAUUUGGGAAUGCCUUGGUGGCAGAAAUGAGGCAGAAAUUACAGCCUCUGAGACCAAGAGGAGACUGUGAGGAAGGGCAGCAGGGUUUUAAAUCAGAUGUAACUAUAGUUGCCUUCCAGCGAAAUUUAAAUAUGCCAAAGUUAGGAAAAAGAAUGGGAAACACUUAUUGUAUAUGUGCAAUAAUAAUGUAAAUAAAUUGAUACAUUGGCAGGCUCUGACUACACACUUGCAAUCAGCAAAAUUUGGAUAGAAGAAGAAGAAGAAGAAGAAGAAGAAGAAGAAGAAAUGAAGUAUGUGUAUGGAAAUGCAGAAGAAUUUAUUAAAAUCAGAAGAAGAAUUGAUGAAGUGUGUGUAUGGAAAUGCAGAAGAAUUUUUGUUAAUAUAAAGAACCAGAAGAGGGAAUGGAGGGAAGUCAUGAGGUCUAAAGAACCUCAAAACAAGGUUUUGCAAAUUUUUUUGUGAAUGGGGACGGGGGAUUUGUUUUUUGUAGUUAAUUGUGGAAAUUAAUUGUGAAAAAAAUCAAUAAAAAUUAUUUACAAAAAGAGAAUGUACAACAACAACAACUCCCAAAGCAGUUUGCAAAAAGAUAAUAUAAGAAAAUAAUGUGGGUGGCCUUGACUCCCCCUAAACUCCUAGGUGCCAGAUCCUCCUCUAAGAUUCCUGGGUCUAAUGGGUGUUGGAAUAUUAAAAUGGGCUGCCAGACACUGGAUUUAGCAAAGUGUUAAAAUACAGGCCAAACCAGUUUCCUGAUCAUGAAAUCACCUGGGAGAAGAGCCAUUAUGGAGAACAAAAGGAAAGUAAUGGGUGAUUACACAGAGCAAAUACUCUGUGUCCGAUGGCAGAUGGCUGGGAGCCCUCCUUCAAGAGAAAGAUAGUUAGCAGAGACAAAGCAGAGUUGGGCCUUAGGACUGCAGUUGGGGAUGAUGUGGACUGGAGAAAAAAUAGUUGCAGACUGGAGAGAAGAGAGAGAGUCUGUUAAAUGCAGCGAGCUGAGCAGAGUCACAGAGACCAUGGCUGAUUUCUGCUGGCAUCCAAACUGUGGGCAUGGGAGAAGCAAGAACCUCUUGGAGUGUAAUACUCUGAGCCCCUCCAUCCCAGACUUGGGUUGUAUAUAUGUAUAAAUAAACCAUAUAUCAUGAAGACACCACAGUUCCUGCUGUGCCUCUUUCAAAGGCAACACAAACCUUGGGUAAGGACCCAACCCCCUGGAAUUUUGCAUCGCUGGGAGAUUGGGGUGGCACAUAGCAACACUAAAACAGAUUAAGAUUCACACCAACUUUCUAAGGCUUGUUUAAACAAGAAUGUUUUUGAAAGAGUACAGUGAAGGUGCCUCCUUGAUACCAAUAGGCAGGGACUUCCAAAGUGUAGGUGCUGCCACACUCAGAGACCAAGUUCAUACAAAUGCACAGAACGGGUAUUAUGUGGCACCAGUAGUAGUGCCAAUUCUGCUGAUCAAAGUGGUCAUGUGUGGGCUAAGAUGUUCUCGUAGGUAAGCUGGUCCCAAUGUUGUUCAGAGCUUUAUAUCCUAAAGAUAACACCUUAAACUUAUCUGAAGAAGUGUUCCUGCACACCAAAGCUCAUACCAAUAACAAACUUAGUUGGUCUCUAAGGUGCUACUGGAAGGAAUUUUUUUUUAAUUUUGUUUCGACUACGGCAGACCAACACGGCUACCUACCUGUAACCUUAAACUUAGCCUGGUAGCAAAUGGGCAACCAGUGCAGGUCUCUGAGGAGGGGUCCUUCUGUGCAGCCCCUCCUGUCAAUAAUCAUGCUGCAGCUUCCAAAUCAGGUUGAAGGGAAGCCCCACCUAGAGCGCAUAGCAAGGCUUUCCUAGCCCAGGAAUGGCUGUAACUAGUCAAUAGCACUUCCUACCUUGACACAUCCCCCUCUUCUCCCCCAGCUCCUGCCCAUCUGCUUUCAUGCUUUGCCUUGCCACCAGCAUACAGAAGCCCCCCCUCUCCCUGUUUCCCCCUCCAGCCUCAUCACUUGCCUCGGCCAAAACCUGUAUCAAACGAUGACAAAACCCUGAACCUGUUUGCCAGCCUCUGGACCGCAGGUGGCUGGAGGUUUGCGAUCAGAAAAGUUGCCGAAAGCGCCAGCCAAUCCACUCCCAUCUCAAAAGCUUAAUGACUGCAGCCCGUCCACCUUACCCAUCCCUUCAAGGCAUGAGCUUUGAAGGAUCCAGCACAGGGGCUCACUUAAUUACCUCCAGUUGUAUAUGACGUUGUCAUGUUGAUUUACUAAAUAUACGUGGGAAACCUCUUUAUUUUGCCAGCCUAUAGAGGAUAUAAUCCAGAGCUCCCAGGAGCGGCUCUGACACCAAUUCCCUCUGGUUAUGUUACCUGUCUUUUCCACCUGCAAUUGCACCGAUGAAGCCCGGAAGGGAUGUCAAUAACUAAUUUAUUCAUUUUACUUCUGAUUUAUUAUAAAAAGGAGAAGAUGUCAGGGCAACUUGUAUCGAGUGACAGUGAAGCUCGCAGUACCUUCAGAAAAGUCUGUGCCUUCAACAAGUAGGAAUCAGCACAUGCCCCAGCGCAACAUCGUAUUUCUUGAUGCAAUAAUAAUAGGGCACUUCAGAGGUCCGUGGUUGUGUGUUUGAUGGCCAGGAACAUUUUUAUUCCUUUCCAAGACACUACCCCCCAAGCUGGGACCAUGCAAAUUCUUUGCUUGUUUGUUUGUUUACAUUUCUAUCCUGACAUUUCACCUGGCAGGACUUUUCACCUGACAGGGCUUUCCACACCGACUCACGCAACCAAGGUCCUUGGCACACAGCUCCUCUGGAUUGCCAAAGUGUCGCAAAGAUGAUGGGCAGUGUUUCCAGACAGGUGUGAGGAACAUUUUUUGGUCUGAGGGCCACAUUCCCCAUUCAAGAAGUUUCUAGGGGUGACAAGGCAGUUUUGGGUAGAGCCAGAGGCAAAAGGUGAGCGGAACAACAGGUGUGGCUCUUUUUUCAUAUUUUUUAUUGCUCAAUUUCCACAUAACAAAUUAUCAAACCAUAUAAUCGCCUACAUAAUUCCCCCCCUCCCCCCAUGGACUUCCCUCAGCUCCUCUCCCUGAUUUCGCUG